AGAGUUUGAUCAUGGCUCAGAAUGAACGCUGGCGGCGUGCUUAACACAUGCAAGUCGAACGAUGAACCUAGCUUGCUAGGGGAUUAGUGGCGCACGGGUGAGUAAUAUAUAGAUAACGUGCCUCUUAGUCUAGGAUAGCCAUUGGAAACGAUGAUUAAUACUGGAUAUUCCUUCUCCUUAUAAUUGGAGUUGGGAAAGUUUUUCGCUAAGAGAUCGGUCUAUAUCCCAUCAGCUUGUUGGUAGUGUAAGAGACUACCAAGGCUAUGACGGGUAGCGGGUUUGAGAGGAUGAUCCGCCACACUGGUACUGAGACACGGACCAGACUCCUACGGGAGGCAGCAGUGAGGAAUAUUGCACAAUGGAGGAAACUCUGAUGCAGCAACGCCGCGUGGAGGAUGACGCAUUUCGGUGUGUAAACUCCUUUUAUGAGUCAAGAAAAUGACGGUAGCUCAUGAAUAAGCACCGGCUAACUCCGUGCCAGCAGCCGCGGUAAUACGGAGGGUGCAAGCGUUAUUCGGAAUCACUGGGCGUAAAGGACGCGUAGGCGGGAAGCCAAGUCUGAUGUGAAAUCCUAUGGCUCAACCAUAGAACUGCAUUGGAAACUGGUUACCUAGAGUAUGGGAGGGGGAGAUGGAAUUAGUGGUGUAGGGGUAAAAUCCGUAGAUAUCACUAGGAAUACC
rnacentral:rRNA from 1 species